AUAAUUCUUGCUAUAACGGUUGCGGUUUAAUUCGUAGAUUAUAGGUGAAAUAUUUGUGGCUGGUGCUACAUAUAAAUCGAUGGAGUUUGUUGGCACAACCAUUGAGAGAUUAAAUAUGGAAGAACGGAUGACAUUAUGUAAUAUGGUUAUUGAAGCUGGUGGAAAGAACGGUGUCGUUUCUGUUGAUA